AUAAUCGUUGGAAACGACGACUAAUACCGCAUACGGUUCUUGGAAGGCAUCUUCUAAGAAAGAAAGGAUUUAUUCGGUAAAAGAUGGGCCCGCAUCUGAUUAGCUAGUUGGUGAGAUAAUAGCCCACCAAGGCAACGAUCAGUAGCCGACCUGAGAGGGUGACCGGCCACAUUGGGACUGAGACACGGCCCAAACUCCUACGGGAGGCAGCAGUGGGGAAUAUUGCACAAUGGGCGAAAGCCUGAUGCAGCAACGCCGCGUGAAGGAAGACGGUUUUCGGAUUGUAAACUUCUAUCAAUAGGGAAGAAAGAAAUGACGGUACCUAAAUAAGAAGCCCCGGCUAACUACGUGCCAGCAGCCGCGGUAAUACGUAGGGGGCAAGCGUUAUCCGGAAUUACUGGGUGUAAAGGGAGAGUAGGCGGCAAGGUAAGCGAUAUGUGAAAGCCUUAAGCUUAACUAAAGGAUUGCAUAACGAACUAUCUAGCUAGAGUACAGGAGAGGAAAGCGGAAUUCCUAGUGUAGCGGUGAAAUGCGUAGAUAUUAGGAAGAACACCAGUGGCGAAGGCGGCUUUCUGGACUGAAACUGACGCUGAGGCUCGAAAGCGUGGGGAGCGAACAGGAUUAGAUACCCUGGUAGUCCACGCUGUAAACGAUGAGUGCUAGGUGUCGGGGAGGAAUUCCCGGUG
rnacentral:rRNA from 1 species